AAAGCUGAGGACACACCUUCUGCUUUGCUAUUUGUGGGUAAGGGGAGGGGCUUAUCUUUCAUAUGUAUGGAGUGCAGCUCUUUCUAAACCCUGCAAUAGAAUUACAAUACAUGCAGUAUGCAAAAUUAACGGAUUUAUGUAGUGUAUAAUCUCUUUACUCUUCUUUCAGAUUUUUCUCUAGUUUAGGGGACUGCUUGUACUCAGAAUAUGAAAACAUCACAGAGUUGCUCAAUAACUUUAGCUUUAAGAAAGGUUGCAUGAUUGUUUGUGGCUAUUAGAGAGCAAAGAAAAAUGGUUUAAUAUCAAUGGGUUUAAAGGUCUGUCAAGUUCUAGCAUUCUAGCAAGUUAUUGAUUAAUGGAGAAGAUAAAUAAAUAUUGUUUAAUCUCUAUGAAAUAUGUAGUUCCCCAUCAAAGAUACAAAAUGGUUUUACUACAAAUAAAACAACAACAACAAAAAAACAUAGUUUAACCAUGGUAUUUGUAGUAAAACUCUGGCUAUACAAAUGGUAAUCAGUAUGCCAAAAAACAUGGUUACACUUUUACUGUAGUAAAACCAUGGUUUAAUGUCUUAAGGGACGUAUCUUACCAAUUGUGAAAGAACUAGCUAUACAUGCACAGUUUUCAAUAAUGCACACUAUUCAGUGAGCUCCACCCUCAAAGGUGAAGUUACAAAAUCCAUGAAGUGAUAAAAUACACUAACUGAAAUCAUACAUGAUUAUCACCAGACCCACUCAGAAACUGCACACUCAGAAUACUAUUAAAAAUAACACCACGGGCAAACUGAUGGUCUGCACAUGUGACUGCUGAUUUGUCAGGCGAUGGUGUUAAAGAAUCGCGCUGCUUCUCCUCUAUGACGUAGUUGUUUCAGAAGUUGUUCUGCUUUAUUCAUGUUCUGCAAAGAGUUAGUGUUGCUAAUAUUUUAGUUGCAAGUGGGUCUAAUAUUUGUUGUAGUUCGUCGGUUUGUUAUUAAAAUCAGUGUCCUUGAGAAACAAAUUACAGCACGUAUCUUUUUCGUGAAGAACAUGUCUGCUGGAAACAUGAAGAAAACAGAGGUGUCAGUCGCUGCUACUUUCAUCGGCGGUUUAAUGAGCAGCAGCUAAUGCUCUACUAUGUGAGAUAAGAUGAUGGCAUGGCUGACCUACUCUUCUUUACUGAGUAGCUGUGUCUCAUAGAAUGGCAUCCAGUGUUUUGAUUCGUUUGAAUUGAUCAUUUUCUCCCAGAAAAGCUGACAUCAUCUUUAUAAUUAUCAUUAUAUAUUUUAUAUAUAUUUAUAUUUUUAGUAUGCAUUAAAAUUUAGUAGGCUUUACAUUUUUUUAGUAUGCUUUAAAAUUCAGUAUGAAAGCUAUUGUAUGCAUGUUUCAUCUCAGAGCACUAUCAGCACUACUGGUUUCCUCAAGCUCACUGCAGAGGCUCUGGCUACAGAUAUUAACGGAUAAACCGUAAAAUGGAUGGAAAAGCAGCCUCUGCUGUUGGAUUUACACAAGAGCAGCUUUUCUCAUCACUUCCAGCAGAGCUGACACUGUGGGUGGACCCUUACGAGGUGUCCUAUUGGAUCGGUGAGGAUGGAUCCACUUGUGUUCUCUACAAGUCCUCACCGCUACGGCCUAAAAGUGCCACCUCAGCAGAUACUUCAGCCCACAGGAAGGAGAAACUAAAAACCAGACGAUCGAAUCAGUCUCUGAUAUUAUGAGAGAUUUUGAAAGCCUCCCUCGUAAACUUUGCAGUUCUUUAAAACAUUAAAGAAGAAACUGGAAGAGAAAUCUUGCAUCUUACAUACAUCCACAAGGUAUCUUCACUGUCGGACUCUGUGUGGUUGUUACUCAACUAAUAUAUUAUGCCUGAAACAGGCCAAAACGCUAAAGCCACUCAUUGACUCUCACAUCUGUUGAGUUAUUCACACUCUCUCCAUUAUGCAUCAGUUGACAGAGCUGCAGGCAAACCAUGCAGAAUAAUAUU